rnacentral:misc_RNA from 1 species
AAGUCGUAACAAGGUUUCCGUAGGUGAACCUGCGGAAGGAUCAUUACAGAGUUCAUGCCCUCACGGGUAGAUCUCCCACCCUUGAAUAUACUACCUUUGUUGCUUUGGCGGGCCGCUUCGUCCACCGGCUUCGGCUGGUGAGUGCCCGCCAGAGGACCCUAAACUCUGAAUUAUAGUGUCGUCUGAGUACUAUACAAUAGUUAAAACUUUCAACAACGGAUCUCUUGGUUCUG